rnacentral:rRNA from 1 species
GAUGAACGCUGACAGAAUGCUUAACACAUGCAAGUCGAUGGGGAAGUGGUGCUUGCACCAUGGUAACCAUGGCGGACGGGUGAGUAACGCGUAAGGAACUUGCCUGCGGGACUGGGAUAACAGCAGGAAACUGCUGAUAAUACCGGAUAAGGUCAUUAAGCUGCAUAGCUUAGUGAUGAAAGGAGACGCCUGCGGAGAGCCUUGCGUCCUAUUAGCUGGUUGGAGGGGUAACGGCCCACCAAGGCGAAGAUAGGUAGCCGGCCUGAGAGGGUGGACGGCCACAAGGGGACUGAGAUACGGCCCUUACUCCUACGGGAGGCAGCAGUGGGGAAUAUUGGACAAUGGGGGCAACCCUGAUCCAGCAAUUCUGUGUGCACGAAGACGGUUUUCGGAUUGUAAAGUGCUUUCAGCAGGGAAGAAGGAAGUGACGGUACCUGCAGAAGAAGCGACGGCUAAAUACGUG